rnacentral:tRNA from 1 species
UGUAGCUCAGCUGGUAGAGCGGCGCAUUCGUAAUGCGUAGGUCGUAGGUUCAAAUCCUAUCA